rnacentral:tRNA from 1 species
GCCCCUCGUAGCUCAAUGCCAGAGCAGUUACCGCGUUUGUAGCAGGUCCAGAUUCAAUUCCUCGGCGGGGGCACCA